rnacentral:rRNA from 1 species
GAGGAAGGUGGGGAUGACGUCAAGUCCUCAUGGCCCUUAUGGGUAGGGCUUCACACGUCAUACAAUGGUCGGGACAGAGGGUCGCCAACCCGCGAGGGGGAGCCAAUCUCAGAAACCCGAUCGUAGUCCGGAUCGCAGUCUGCAACUCGACUGCGUGAAGUCGGAAUCGCUAGUAAUCGCGGAUCAGAAUGUCGCGGUGAAUACGUUCCCGGGUCUUGUACACACCGCCCGUCACACCAUGGGAGUGGGUUUCACCAGAAGUAGGUAGCCUAACCGUAAGGAGGGCGCUUACCACGGUGGGAUUCAUGACUGGGGUGAAGUCGAACAAGAGC